AAACUUAAAAACUUUCACUAGGCAUAAAAUUCUACUUUCUGAGACCGUGACCCACUUAGACCUCAAUAACCCUCAAUUCAACUGUUAGAUCGAGCUCAAAUUCACAAUACAUAUUGAACACAACUAUAACCAAUAAUCCACAAAAUUUCACUUGUAGAUCUAUUAUAAAAAACUUGAAAUCAUUCAAAACGUAAAUCCUAUUUUAUUUCAUAAAACUCAAGUCAUCCAAAACAAACCUUGACUUUACAAAGCUCUUACAAAGUCAAUACAGAUCCAAAUCACCUAAAACCAAUGCU
rnacentral:lncRNA from 1 species